rfam:Dengue virus type 2 strain ThNH63/93, complete genome.
UGGGGGCCCAAGGCGAGAUGAAGCUGUAGUCUCGCUGGAAGGACUAGAGGUUAGAGGAGACCCCCCCGAAACA